rnacentral:rRNA from 1 species
GACGAACGCUGGCGGCGUGCUUAACACAUGCAAGUCGAACGAAGUGGCGAACGGGUGCGUAAUACGUGGGUACCCUGCCCUCCUUUUUGGGAUAAGCCUUGGAAACGGGGUCUAAUACCGAAUACAGGGGGAUGGGCUGGCGGCCUAUCAGCUGGCUGGUGGGGUGAUGGCCUACCAAGGCGGUGCCGGGUAGCCGGCCUGAGAGGUUGACCGGCCACAUUGGGACGGCGAUACGGCCCAGGCGCCUACGGGAGGCAGCAGUGGGGGAUAUUGAACAAUGGGCGAAAGCCUGAUGCAGCGACGCCGCGUGGGGGAUGAGGGCUUUCGGGUUGUAAGCCUCUUGCGCUAUAGAACGGGUAGGUGGAGAAGAAGCGCCGGCUAACUACGUGCCAGCCGCCGCGGUAAUAC